GAUGAACGCUAGCUACAGGCUUAACACAUGCAAGUCGAGGGGCAUCAGGAAGAAAGCUUGCUUUCUUUGCUGGCGACCGGCGCGACGGGUGAGUAACACGUAUCCAACCUGCCCUUUACUCGGGGAUAGCCUUUCGAAAGAAAGAUUAAUACCCGAUAGCAUAAUGAUUCCGCAUGGUUUCAUUAUUAAAGGAUUCCGGUAAAGGAUGGGGAUGCGUUCCAUUAGGUUGUUGGUGAGGUAACGGCUCACCAAGCCUUCGAUGGAUAGGGGUUCUGAGAGGAAGGUCCCCCACAUUGGAACUGAGACACGGUCCAAACUCCUACGGGAGGCAGCAGUGAGGAAUAUUGGUCAAUGGGCGCUAGCCUGAACCAGCCAAGUAGCGUGAAGGAUGAAGGUCCUACGGAUUGUAAACUUCUUUUAUAAGGGAAUAAAACCUCCCACGUGUGGGAGCUUGUAUGUACCUUAUGAAUAAGCAUCGGCUAACUCCGUG
rnacentral:rRNA from 1 species